rnacentral:misc_RNA from 1 species
GUUUCAAUUUCAUAUUCCCAACACCAAAACUUUUUUAUCAGGCAAACUCUCUUAAUUCCUAAUAUUCCGACUGAUCAGCUCUCGAAAACAUAAAAAACCACAAAUUAGCAGCCUUUUCUCAAUUCUCAAUUCUCAAGCCAACCAACCAAAAAAACUCUUGGGUGUGUCAUUGUUGUUUGUUUGCAAAAUUCGCAAAAUUCUUUAAUGAUCCUUCCGCAGGUUCACCUACGGAAA